rnacentral:rRNA from 1 species
CAAGUCGAACGGCAGCACGGGGGCAACCCUGGUGGCGAGUGGCGAACGGGUGAGUAAUGCAUCGGAACGUAUCCUUAAGUGGGGGAUAACGCACCGAAGGGUGUGCUAAUACCGCAUAAUCUCUGAGGAGAAAAGCAGGGGAUCGCAAGACCUUGCGCUUUUGGAGCGGCCGAUGUCUGAUUAGCUAGUUGGUGAGGUAAAGGCUUACCAAGGCGUCGAUCAGUAGCUGGUCUGAGAGGACGACCAGCCACACUGGGACUGAGACACGGCCCAGACUCCUACGGGAGGCAGCAGUGGGGAAUUUUGGACAAUGGGGGAAACCCUGAUCCAGCCAUGCCGCGUGAGUGAAGAAGGCCUUCGGGUUGUAAAGCUCUUUCAGCCGGAACGAAACGGUCACGGUUAAUACCCGUGACUACUGACGGUACCGGAAGAAGAAGCACCGGCUAACUACGUGCCAGCAGCCGCGGUAAUACGUAGGGUGCGAGCGUUAAUCGGAAUUACUGGGCGUAAAGCGUGCGCAGGCGGUUUUGUAAGUCAGAUGUGAAAUCCCCGGGCUUAACCUGGGAACUGCGUUUGAAACUACAAGGCUAGAGUGUGGCAGAGGGGGGUGGAAUUCCACGUGUAGCAGUGAAAUGCGUAGAGAUGUGGAGGAACACCGAUGGCGAAGGCAGCCCCCUGGGUUAACACUGACGCUCAGGCACGAAAGCGUGGGGAGCAAACAGGAUUUAGAUACCCUGGUAGUCC